GAAGGCAGUUGUGGACCUUUGAAGGACUUGGAGAGGCUUCCAGCAGCCAUCCUCAGAGAACAGUUUGGAGACUUUGCAAGUUGCUGAGCGACUGAAACUGUUCCCAGCUUUGCUGCUGUUACAACCUGGAAGGGAAGGACCCAGAGCCGGGCACCUCUUAAGCUGUGUUUGCUCUUUUAUUUUUUUUUUAAAGAUUUAUUUAUUUAUGCAUACAAGAGCUGGGGGAUAGCUCUUGUAUAAGCCCAGACGUGCGGUGGGUGAGAGGAUUCACCAGAGAGAGUGGGGAGCAGAAUAGGUGGAUUGACUGAAAUACACUGCUGAGGGGAGCAGCGGGCCAGACAGGAGAGAUCUGCUACACCAUGUGGGUCAGCUCCCUGGCCUGCUGAGGAUCCAACUCGUGCUGCAGUGGCUGGUGAUAGCAUGAUAGUGCUGUGUCUUUAGCCCCUGCGCUACCAGAGAGGCCCCAGAUCCACUCUUUCGAAUGUCCAUUGUCUGGUGCUGUGCUGACUGAUCUCAGCAGCUCUGGUGAGAUCUUUGUGUCUUUUGCUGUCUUUGUGAGCUGGAUCUGGCCUAUAGUCUGGCUGCCACGUGCUCUGUGUCCUAGUGGCAGGAAGAUACCAUCUUGGGAGCCAUUGCAUUAGGACUGUAAGACCUUGGAAACUGCUUCAGGCAAGAUAUCUACUGUUGAAAACUUUUAAGCAUUUUUGGAUACUCUUUUACUUGAAAAAUGAUAGCAGAAUAACUUCAGCAGGUAAAGCUUAAAAUGAACCAAGUAUUAAAUAAUAUGUAAGAAUGAGAGAAAUGUCAGU